rnacentral:ncRNA from 1 species
UAAAAACACUAGGGGAGUCUUUCGGGACUGAGACGGAGAAAUCCGGACCCUUCGAACCUGAUCUAGUUGAAACUAGCGUAGGGAAGUGGUUGAUGUAUGUU